GACAGUUGAAAUCAUUGCUUCGGUAUUGAGCUAGAACUGGUACUGUAGGCAAAGGGUCUAGUUCAACGCUAGUUCUGAGCUAAUCAUAUUUUCUGCAGGGAUGCUAGUGCGCA